GUUUCAGAUUUGAGAUUUUUUUUCAGAUUUUGGAAUAUUUGGGUUGAGCAUCCCUAACCUAAAACUCUGAAACCCAAACUGCUCCAAUGUGCAUUUCCUUGGAGUAUCAUGUAGGCACUCAAAGAGUUUCAGAUUUUUGAGCAUUUUGGAUUAGGGAUUUUUUUUGUUUGUUUUUUGAGACAAAGUCUCACUCUGUCGCCCAGGUCUGGAACUCCUGACCUCAGGUGAUCCACCCGCCUCAGGCUCCCAAAGUGCUGGGAUUACAGGCAUAAGCCACCAUGCUGGGCGCCUGUUGUAACUAUAAAUGAGCUGCCCCCCCACCACCCCCGAAGUUUUAAGGAAGUCUAGAAGGAUUCUCAAAACACAAGUAGCUGCGUUACUUCUGAGAAGGGGAGACCUUAUUAAAAUAUGCUGUUUGGUUGCUUUUAAAAUCUACUCCUGGGUGCACAUGUUCCCAUUUCGCCAGGGCAGGGGUGGGUGUUACACAGAAAAAAAAAAACAAUAAUAAAGCUGGAGUCAUAGGAUCAGUGAGGAAAUGCUCAUGAAAUAUUCAGGACCAUAUCUGGCACAUAGUAAAUGUUUCAUUAGUAUCAGCUCUUGUUGUUACUAUUCAGAAGAACAUGACAGGCAGGAAACAAGGACAGAGAAAAAGGCAGGCACAGAGCAGGGGAGACAGAGAGGAGCAGCAAGGUGGGCAGCGCUGGUCAGGCAUGACUCACUCUGUGCUGUGCCAUGCUGGCCUGAAGUUCCUGGACCUUGGGGUCUGGCACCUGGGGCCCAGGGCUGUCCCGAUCCUCCUCCUCCUGCCGGCUCUCCCGCUCCAGUUGCUGGAACUCCAGGUCCUCAUAG
rnacentral:lncRNA from 1 species